GAUGAAGAACGUAGCGAAAUGCGAUACGUAAUGUGAAUUGCAGAAUUCAGUGAAUCAUCGAGUCUUUGAACGCACAUUGCGCCCCCUGGUAUUCCGGGGGGCAUGCCUGUCCGAGCGUCAUUGCUGCCCUCAAGCACGGCUUGUGUGUUGGGCCUCCGUCCUCCUCCCGGGGGACGGGCCCGAAAGGCAGCGGCGGCACCGCGUCCGGUCCUCGAGCGUAUGGGGCUUCGUCACCCGCUCUUGUAGGCCCGGCCGGCGCUUGCCGACACAUCAAUCUUUUUUCCAGGUUGACCUCGGAUCAGGUAGGGAUACCCGCUGAACUUAAGCAUAUCAAUGCGAGGA
rnacentral:misc_RNA from 1 species